CCGUGCAAAGGUAGCAUAAUCACUUGUCUCUUAAAUAGAGACCUGUAUGAACGGCACCACGAAGAUUUUACUGUCUCCCCUUACCAAUCAGUGAAACUAAUCUCCCUGUGAAAAAGCAGGAGUACAUAUACAAGACGAGAAGACCCUAUGGAGCUUAAAAUUAGUAACACUUGCUUAUUCUCCUAAAUUAUAACCACCUAGCAUUAUGCUUACACAUUUUCGGUUGGGGUGACCCCGGAGAAAAACUUAACCUCCAUGCCGUAUAUCUAAGAACCUCAAUUCUAUAAAUCAAUAAACUGACACAUUGACCCAAACACUUGAUCAACGAACUAAGUUACCCUAGGGAUAACAGCGCCAUCCACUUCAAGAGUACAUAUCAACAAGUGGGCUUACGACCUCGAUG
rnacentral:rRNA from 1 species